rnacentral:tRNA from 3 species
GCGCCCAUAGCUCAACUGGACCAGAGCGUUUGACUACGGAUCAAAAGGUUGGGGGUUCGAGUCCUCCUGGGCGCACCA